rnacentral:rRNA from 1 species
CACGUAGGCACCAAGCGUUGUCCGGAUUUAUUGGGCGUAAAGAGCUCGUAGGCGGUUCGUCGCGUCGGCUGUGAAAACCCGGAGCUCAACUCCGGGCCUGCAGUCGAUACGGGCGGACUUGAGUGUUGCAGGGGAGACUGGAAUUCCUGGUGUAGCGGUGAAAUGCGCAGAUAUCUGGAGGAAUACCGGUGGCGAAGGCGGCAUCCUGGACCGGCAUUGACGCUGAGGAGCGAAAGCGUGGGGAGCGAACAGG